GAUGAAGAACGUAGCGAAAUGCGAUAAGUAAUGUGAAUUGCAGAAUUCAGUGAAUCAUCGAAUCUUUGAACGCACAUUGCGCCCGUCAGUAUUCUGGCGGGCAUGCCUGUUCGAGCGUCAUUACGCCCCUCAAGUCCCCUGUGGACUUGGUGUUGGGGAUCGGCGAGGCUGGUUUUCCAGCACAGCCGUCCCUUAAAUUAAUUGGCGGUCUCGCCGUGGCCCUCCUCUGCGCAGUAGUAAAACACUCGCAACAGGAGCCCNGCGCGGUCCACUGCCGUAAAACCCCCCAACUUUUUAUAGUUGACCUCGAAUCAGGUAGGACUACCCGCUGAACUUAAGCAUAUCAAUAAGCGGAGGA
rnacentral:misc_RNA from 1 species